rnacentral:rRNA from 1 species
GACGAACGCUGGCGGCGUGCUUAACACAUGCAAGUCGAACGGAAAGGCCCUGCUUUUGUGGGGUGCUCGAGUGGCGAACGGGUGAGUAACACGUGAGUAACCUGCCCUUGACUUUGGGAUAACUUCAGGAAACUGGGGCUAAUACCGGAUAGGAGCUCCUGCUGCAUGGGGUGGGUGGGAAAGUUUCGGCGGUUGGGGAUGGACUCGCGGCUUAUCAGCUUGUUGGUGGGGUAGUGGCUUACCAAGGCUUUGACGGGUAGCCGGCCUGAGAGGGUGACCGGCCACAUUGGGACUGAGAUACGGCCCAGACUCCUACGGGAGGCAGAAGUGGGGAAUAUUGCACAAUGGGCGGAAGCCUGAUGCAGCAACGCCGCGUGCGGGAUGACGGCCUUCGGGUUGUAACCCGCUUUCGCCUGUGACGAAGCGUGAGUGACGGUAAUGGGUAAAGAAGCACCGGCUAACUACGUG